rnacentral:rRNA from 1 species
UACAGAGGGGGCAAGCGUUGUUCGGAAUUACUGGGCGUAAAGGGCGCGUAGGCGGCCUGCUAAGUCGAACGUGAAAUCCCCGGGCUCAACCCGGGAACUGCGUCCGAUACUGGUAGGCUUGAAUUCGGGAGAGGGAUGCGGAAUUCCAGGUGUAGCGGUGAAAUGCGUAGAUAUCUGGAGGAACACCGGUGGUGAAGGCGGCAUCCUGGACCGGUACUGACGCUGAGGCGCGAAAGCUAGGGUAGCAAACAGG